UGUGCCAAAAGGAGGGGAGUUGAGGCCUGGCAACAAAACACUGCAAGCAUCAAGGCAGAGUGGACGCCGCUGGCGACCCAGAAGGUGGAGACAGUCGGGUUUAAAUGCUCUGUGCUCCAAAUGAAUAAAAUCAGCAGCACCUGUAAAGGGGAGGAGCACAAAGACACCUGCAACCCAGCCCAUAAGGCCCAGGGCCGUAACAGUUAUCAUAAACUAGAGGUCAAGCCUGAAAUCUGGGUGUGGUGAUGACCUCUGACCUGAACCUUCAGAGACACAUAAAGACGGUUCCAAAGUCGGCCUUCUAUCAACUGACAUCAAUCAAAUCAACGGUCCAGAACGUCAUCUUGACAGAUUUCUCUGAAGAGAAACGGCCAGAGGCUGAAGCUGUGAGAUGGAUCGACACGGAAAGGGCAGAGUUAAGUUCCUAUGAACCAGUUCAGUGAAUCGGUGAUCAGGACGAUUCAUGACAGACGUCUGCAGCUCCGGCUCUCCAGUGUCGCUGACCAGCAACGUUUCAAUGCAUCACCUGGAUCAAAAAGUUAAAAGGUUGCAGGACAGAUUCUCUCUUCACCUGGUUUAGGAGAUUAUGUCUGUUUGGGUUCAGAUUAUUUUAGAUUUUGGGCUUUUACGUGCCAAUUACCACCUCCCUAAAAGUAGCUUUUAAUUAUAUUUUACAUCUGUUCUCAGGAGGACAAGGACAAGGAGGCUGUGGUGGGAAGGACCUGGACCUGGAGGAGGAGGAGAGGAUUUUCUCCGCCGAGACACAGACACGUACACGGUCACAAACACAUGGGGCCACAAGAAAGGGGAGAACCUGUUCCUCACUUUAACUGCUCAAAAUGGAAACUUUCACGUCUUCACUAUGUUUUUUUGCUAAAUAUUACAAAUACUGUUAGUGAAGAGUAGAUGUCUGAUAAUCGUUUCUGUUUCCUCUGCAGCUCCUGCAGCAGCAACUCUGGAGACGUCUCACAGAUCUUCAUCUCUAAAAGCCGGCAGUGAUCAGUUACAUUCAGCGAUUAAAGGCUGAACUCAAAAUGAAUAAAGGCUUAAUAAAAAUACAUCUGAGGUUCUGGGAAUUUUGAUUUUAACUAAAGGUAUGAUGAGAAAUUGCUGCUUUGUACUGACUGGAUUUCAAAUAAAGUAUAUGAAAUUCAAACACAUGAUCAGUUUCAGUUGUAUUUUGUUUGAAUCUAUUCUGUUAAACAGUGUUUAAAGUUGAAUGUUUUUCUGUUGGUAGGUGUGGAGAUACCCAGCUCCCGUGUCUCUUGGUUCCUUUCGGGUCCUCGUCUCUUCUGCUGUUUGUUUGUCAGCCUGUGUUUCCAGUUAUUCCAGUUGCUACUGGUUUCUGAGCUCCUAGCUUUCUGCUCACCUGUGCUGCCUGGAUUGUGUUUUCUUCUUCAUUAAAACCAUCGUCAUUAUUCAGCAACCUGGUUCCUCCGCUUCUG